GGCUUCAUAGCUCAGUUGGUUAGAGCCUCGUACCGGUAUCACGAUGUCACGGGUUCAAACCCCGUUGAAGUCC
rnacentral:tRNA from 1 species